CAAUUUUCCUACACUUGGAGACCACCAUAUUAUAAAACCUCGACUCUCAGUCUCUGUCUCCCACUAUCUUUCUUUUGUCUUUCUUUGACUUCCUCAUGACGUCUAUCAGUAACUCUAUUCUCUGACUACUCAUCUAUCUCCCUGUUAUUGUCUCUUCCUUCUAUGCCUGUUUUUGAUUUUCUGUCACUUGUCUCCCUCAGUCACAGUCUCUUCUGCAUGUUUCUCUCUUUUUGUCCCUCCAUUUCUCUAGGUGGAUAUCCUCCUAUUUUUCUCUCAUCUCUCCCUUUUCGGGACUGGAGGAGCAGUCUCCUUAAUCUCUGGGCCUCCAGAAAAAAAGUUUCGGGGGUGGGGGCUUCCUCUUGCACCCACCUUAUCGUACCCUAUCCCACCCUUUCCUUCUGUCCAUGCUAACAAACACAUUGGCCACUCUAGGCUAAACCUGGGAGUGCGGUGUAUAAGAGCCUGAGCUAUAUUCCUUUAAGAGGCGGGACUAAAGCGGGGAAGCUAUAAAUCUGCUGGAUUCUAGGGCUAGGACGCGGUGAAACUACUUGCAGUUGCUGAAGAUCACUCCUGGAGCUGCUUAGUCCCUGAGCACGCGGCCCGCGACCCCAGCUCGCCAGCCUCCGAGUCUCCCUCGGUUCCAUAAUCACAGAUCUGAAGGAUCAGGUGCCCAAGCUCUUGUCCACAUUAAGAGCCUUCCCAUCAUGAAAAACGUGCUGAACCUCUACUUGCUGGGUAUGCUGCUCUCAUUCCUCUCUAUCUUCAUUAGGCUGAUGGAAUCCAUCGAGGUAUUAAUAGAAGGUUAUCCCUUCCGUAGCCACUGGCCCAAGAGGGGCCAAACUGUCAGUGCGAAUCCACCCAAGAGACUGCCUAAAGAACGCCUACUUCCAACCAAAGCUGUGAGACCAUACUUAUGAUGACUUUCAUCUAAAGGUGACAUUGUUCCAAGAACCUGAUUUGAACCCAUAUUGAACAUCAUCAGAUUGUGUUCCAGGAAUCUAGAUGGAGGCUGGCGUCCAGCCUAUGCAGUACAAAGGAACAGUCUAGUAUGUGGAAGCUUUCCUGACCUUAAAGUCAUCAACUUUUGACUGUUCCGUCUUGCUCUGGAUAGAUGGAGAAGAGAUCAGUUCUCUGUGGCAAGGUGUCUUAACCCAAGCUCCAUGGACAGAUUUCAUCCAAGUUGGUGAACUUGGAUGGGAAAAAAAUUCGUCUUUAUUUCAUUUUUACUAGUUUCUAACUGGCAGUUACCAUUUACUUUAAUUAUUUAAAAAUGAUAUCCUGAAUACGAACAGACAAUUUUCAGGUGAGGAAACUGAAAUUAUUUGUAAUCAUAUGAAAAGAUGCACCAAAUCACUAUUGAUCGGAGAAAUGCAAAUUAAGACAACUCUUGAGAUACCACUACACACCUGUCAGAUUGGCUAGAAUGACAGGAAAUGAUAAUGACAAAUGUUGGAGGGGAUGUGGGAAUACUGGAUCACUGAUAAAUUGUUGAUGGAACUGAAUCCAACAGUGUUUCUACUAGGUUUAUGUUCCAAAGAAAUAUUAAAGAAGGAAAAGGGACCCCACAUAUGCAGAAAUGUUUGUGGCAGCCCUUUUUGUAGUGGCCAGAAACUGGAAACUGAAUGGAUACCCAUCAAUUGGAGAAUGGCUGAAUAAAUUGUGGUAUAUGAAUGUUAUGGAAUAUUAUUGUUCUGUAAGAAAUGACCAGCAGGAUGAAUACAGAGAGGCUUGGAGAGACCUACAUGAACUGAUGCUCAGUGAAAUGAGCAGGACCAGAAUCAUUAUACACAGCAACAACAAGACUAUACGAUGAUCAGUUCUGGUGGACGUGGCUCUCUUCAACAAUGAGAGGAUUCAAACCAGUUCCAAUUGUUCAGCGAUGAAGAGAGCCAUCUACACUCAGAGACAGGACUGUGGAAACUGAGCGUGGACCACAUUAUAGCAUUCUCAUUCUCUCUCUUGUUUGUUUGCAUUUUCUUUUCUUUUGCAGUUUUUUUUUCUUCCUUCUUGAUCUGAUUUUUCUUGUGCAGCAAGAUAACUGUAUAAAUAUGUAUACAUGUUGGAUUUAACAUCUAUUUUUAACAUUUAAUUUUGUUGGACUACCUGCCAGAUCUGAAGGGGUGAGGAAGAGGGGAAAAUUUGAAACAGAAGCUUUUGCAAGGGUCACUGUUGAAAACUUACCCAUGCAUGUAGUUUUGUAAAUAAAAAGCUAUAAUUAAAAAUAAAUAAAUAAAUAAAUAAAAGAAAAAAAAUGUUGUCCUGAGAAGGGCCCAUAGUUUUUACUAGAAUAGUGGAUUCAUGUCACAAAAGGGUUUAAGGACUCCUGCACUGCCUUCAUCAAAUCUUGGGACUGCUUUGGGAGAAGAUAUUACAUAAAGAUAUCCCUUGAAACUCAUGCCCUGUACUCCUUCCAGCUCCCACCCCCUUUCUUAUUUGUGAUGUGAUUGGAGGGGAUCAGUAGUGGAGUAUAGACAGAAAUGUUUUCUGAGAGAAGCAAUUACAGACUGUCUAUUGUGAGCAGGAGUAGCUGGGCUUUCACUUGGGAAGGAAGCCAGGGACCUCUCUUGGGAGUAAAGCCAGUACAGAGAGAGCAUUGCCUGACUUAGGAGAGGUCAAGAAAAGUUUUCUGGACAUUGCCCUUCCUGGGGAUGGAGAAUAAUAGGGAGAAUUUUGCUCUUUAAAAUGGUGGUUGACUAAAACUUGGUUGCCGCUGAAGCUCACUGUUCUGAUUGACUUUAAAAAGGACUUCUCUCCCCAGGUCUGGGCAACAGUUGGAGGAGGGGUAACUGUUUUGAUUUCCUGUUCCUAGAAUAGAUAAUUUUUUUUUUAUUCUGGUUGCUUUUUUUCCUGUUCCUUCCCUGCAGGGAGACACUAGAUGAACAUAGCGAUAAGCCACCAUGUGGCUUCAACUUAAAAAAAAAAAAAUUAUUGCAAUAAAGAUGAUCUACCUUUC